AUCUGUGUGUCAGCUGUUAAAUCAUCUGUGUGUCAGCUGUUAGAUCAUCUGUGUGUCAGCUGUUAGAUCAUCUGUGUGUCAGCUGUUAAAUCAUCAGUGUCAGCUGUUAAAUCAUCUGUGUGUCAGCUGUUAAAUCAUCUGUGUGUCAGCUGUUAGAUCAUCUGUGUGUCAGCUGUUAGAUCAUCUGUGUGUCAGCUGUUAGAUCAUCUGUGUGUCAGCUGUUAAAUCAUCUGUGAGUCAGUUGUUAGAUCAUCUGUGUGUCAGCUGUGUGCCCAUCAUAUCAGGGGGAGCCACCAGGGAUUGAGUGUUGCUUUAACUUUACGUCCAACAUUUUAUAUUAAACCAACAUGUUUCUGUUCAGGUUUCAUUGGUUUUUGAUAGGUGACAGUCUGUUUUGGAGGGCUACAUUCCAGACCUGUCUAUCACCAGUUAUCCUGGGGUGGGGAAAGGAGGAAGGGUGUGGUUCCAGUUUCAUCUGGAUGGAGCUAGUAGGGGUUUUCCUAACAGCUACUUCACUAUUUCAAACUGCUGCUAGACUCACUAGUCCUCAUAUCACAUGCCAAACACAGGAGUGGAAAAAGCAACAGGUGUUUGUGUGUGUUGAAUUAGUCAGUUGUGUGUCCUGCGAGUUCAUUCAUCUUUUUUUACAGUUUUGUGUUCAGUCUCACGCUUAUAUGGUCCCCUUUAUUCAUAAUGUUUGUAGGUCCUUUAAUAUGAAGUGAAGCUAAACCUUCAUAUGGACUCCAGCUCUGCUGGUUAUGUGUAUUACCUAUAGCAAGUAAACCGUGUGUGUGUUCAUGUGUGAGUGCAUACGACACGCUUGUGUGGGAGCAAUACACCACUACAGGUCACAUGGCGUGGGAGAGAGGGGUCACAGAGGUCACUUCCUGCUCCUUGUUAAAGAGGUGCAUACAGGGAAAUAAGGGGACAAAGCAGAAACAUGAAGGACUGGUGUAGUACAAGGACAUAAAGACUCUUUUCACUGGACCACAACGUCUGAUCUUCUCAUUCUCUCACAGGAAUGAGCUUUCUUCCCAGCCAUUCCCAGUUCUAUAGUUGUCAUGGUGCCAAGUGGCAGCCUAGGCAGAGAGAUCAAUAACCCAAGAGGAAGCUCUCUAUGUAGAGUUGGCAGUGGGCCAGGGGUUUCAUUGCUCAGGAGGAUACUUCUGAAGUAAGGACUGAGUGAGCUGAACUCUUUGGGGAGCAAACUUCACCACAGAGUCUGAAUACAGAGAAGACGGCAGAGAGGCUUGGAUGACAUGACGCUGCCUGCCUGCCCUUGGACAUGCUGACCUGACCACCACCACCACCUCCGACCACCAGCUCUGCUGACCAUCUAGCUAUGAGCUUCCAGAUCCUCUCAUGACCACGGCUGCCCAUCUGGAAGCUUUAAGAAGUACUCAGACAGACUUGAUCUAGCUGAUCUAGCUGCUAUUGUAGCCUGUAUUUGCCUCAAUAUUUAAACAUUUAGAUUUUAUGGUAAUGUCUUAAUAAUCUAAAUGUGUUUAUUGUUUGUGUUACUGCAAAUUAGCUUUAAACUGCCAUAGUACACAUGAAAGGAAAUUAAAAUAUAGCAUUAUCAUCAUCAUUUCUGAGUCAAAUUACAAGCCGAAAUCUACCGCUCAGAUAAAAAAAUAAAAAAACAUGACUUAAAAACA